CAGCCUAACACAUGCAAGUCGAACGGUAACAGGAAGCAGCUUGCUGCUUUGCUGACGAGUGGCGGACGGGUGAGUAAUGUCUGGGAAACUGCCUGAUGGAGGGGGAUAACUACUGGAAACGGUAGCUAAUACCGCAUAACGUCGCAAGACCAAAGAGGGGGACCUUCGGGCCUCUUGCCAUCGGAUGUGCCCAGAUGGGAUUAGCUAGUAGGUGGGGUAACGGCUCACCUAGGCGACGAUCCUUAGCUGGUCUGAGAGGAUGACCAGCCACACUGGAACUGAGACACGGUCCAGACUCCUACGGGAGGCAGCAGUGGGGAAUAUUGCACAAUGGGCGCAAGCCUGAUGCAGCCAUGCCGCGUGUAUGAAGAAGGCCUUCGGGUUGUAAAGUACUUUCAGCGGGGAGGAAGGUGUUGAGGUUAAUAACCUCAGCAAUUGACGUUACCCGCAGAAGAAGCACCGGCUAACUCCGUGCCAGGCAGCCGCGGUAAUACGGAGGGUGCAAGCGUUAAUCGGAAUUACUGGGCGUAAAGCGCACG
rnacentral:rRNA from 1 species